GGGAGCGGGGCCUGUCGCCGCCCUGGCUGAGGGGAGGGCGGGCGGGUGGAGAGCCCGGGCCCGGCGCAGCCAUGCCCGCCCCGCGGGGCGGGGGGCCGCGGCUGGGGCGCUGAUGGCUGCGGGUAGCCGUGCCUCUGAGCCGGCCGGGUUUAUGGCUGGCGGAGCGGAGAGGCCGCAUUGCGCCGUGCCAUCGGUUGGCCUGCAUUUGGCAUCGGCGGGGCGCUACGGCGCGCUCGGUGCGGUGUGCGGUGCGGGAGGGUACGGCUCCCGCGGGGGCAGCCGGAGCCCGCAGCAGGCCACCGUGCUCCCAGUAAAGCAAAACAGCGCCUUCCCGGGGGGAGGGCUUCUGUGCCCGCUGGAACAUGACAUCACCACAAAUAAUUAUUGCAUAAGUGUCCCGUCGCGGAUGCCAUUGAUAUUACAGUCUUUUUGUUUAACUCCAGCAAUGACAGCAGCAGCUUCUAUCUAGAAUCUCCCAAGGAUACUGUUUAACUUAUAUUCCAGUUGCCAAGUCCAUUUCUGUCAAAAACAGCCUUUGUGGCUGUGUACCCUUUCUGUGAAAGCCCAAAGCCUUGGUGUGUUUACACUCCCCUGUGGGAGCUGCCCUUGGCUCUUUGACUUUCUUUCUAAGGUUCCGAUCCUCCAUCUAAAAAGUCUACACUUCAAAAAAUUUCUACAUGUAAAAACCCAAGUGUUACAGUGAUUGUAUGUUUGAAAAGAUAUUGGGCCAUGUGUGCAAGCUUCUAGUAGUGGUGUUUGGUAGUUGAGGCUUACCCACUUGUUACUGUAACAAGUAAUUUCAGAAUUGGGUAUUACAAAACUGCUGGGUCCUUUUGAUUCCUUCUGUGUGUGGCUUUUCUGAAAAAUUGUGCAUAGAAGUCAGUAACUGGCUGUCUCCCAAAGCUGUUGUUUUCUGCAGCCACACCAAGCGGCAAACAGGUCUUUAGCUUGGGAUGUCAUCCUCUCAAAUUGAGCUCAAGGAAGAUGUGGUGGGUCACGUGAAACAAGGAACUUGAAUUACAUCAUCAGCAAGUAGCUUCUGGUCUGCUAGUGACUGUGAGCAGGUGAAAGACCUGAAAAAAUUCGCUAAGAGUUACGCAAUAAGUGCUAAGUAAAGGUGUCUAUGAGAGAGCUGUGAAGUAAGUUAAAAUUGCCCGAAGGCAAAAUGAGUGUGCCAGCUUCUGUCCCCAUAUGGGUCAUGGGUCUGCAUCUGCAUACACAAGCUCUUAAACUCACCUUUUUCUAUUGGAAAGAUAAAGGUGUUGAACUAAAUCUAGCCUAAUCUGAACUAAUAAGAGACUAAUGUGAACUAAAUCUGAAAUGGGAAUGUUUUCAUUCCACAGUUCAACCAAGUAGUUCAUUUAAAGUUAUUGCCAAGUGUUUUUGCAUAGUCUUGGCCAAAUUUUUGAUGGGAGGAUUGAAGAAAGUAGAGAUUCAGCCCUUCAUGUGUGGCAGUGCACUAGAAAAGAUAGUUUAAUAGUUGUUGAUAAUUCUAAUCCUUGUUUUUCAGUCUUCUGUUGUGGUAACACGGCAUAUGUUCGCAGAGGUUGCAUAUCCAGUGUGAAGGGCUUUGUCGUGCAGUGUGAUGAUAGUGUAGUGCAGUGCAAACUUCAGCUAAAUACUGCUGUCACAGAGCAUUCCAAGGGAAGAUGCUAUGGUUAGUGAGGAGUGCCUGUGUCUCUUAUUAGACUGAAUCAUAUAGAGGGAGAGAGGAGAGCAGUGGGCAAGCUUUCAGGAAUACAAGCCUUUCUUCUUCAGCUGCUUUAAGAAAAAGAAAUGUUGGAAACCUAUAUCAACGAAUCUGUGCUGUUCCUAAAAUCAGAGUGGUAAAGCUGUUCUUUGUCAAAAACCUGGAUUACUUCAUUAGCUUCUAGAAAUGUAAUAGCUGCUGCUUUUCCAUUAAGCUGUUUCCGGUUACAUGCUACUGUGAACGCACCUGUCAAACAGAAUGGUGUUUGGACCAAUAUACAUGUCAUUGCACAAUUAGUUGCUCUUAAGUUCAACAAAACAGCCCCAGGAUAUAUCGGCAGUUCUGGAGAUAACACUGCACCUCUUCUGAAGGGGGCGCUUACAGUCCUUACCUCACCAUUACAAGGAUGACUGUAUGCUGACAAGGAAACAGGCUUCUGAAUGAGCUACCAGAAUACCAUUGCAAAGCUUCCUGUAACUCCAAAAGAAAAUCUGUACUGACUUUACAUCGCUGCCUGUGAUGUACUAUCCUACACUAGAACCUCUCUGGAAAAAUAAUUAAAUAAUCCCCUCAUCCUGGAAAAAGUUCUGUGCUUUGAAAUAAAGCUUUCCCAGAAUUUUCCAUUUGCCCUAUGUAGGUUUCAGGUGGUGCUCUGUGUGAAACAACCUUCCUGGAAAUCAGUGAGUACUGAGCAGAAUUGGACUAUGUGUGAGCCGUGCAUAAUAAAUGCCCUCUACAGCAGAACUGCCAUGAUCUAUGGAUCCUACUCAUUCCCAUCCCAGAAUGUGACAAACUUGCUCAAUAUACUGAAUGUCCUCAUCGACGUUACUGGGACGAACCUGAAGAGCUACCAGCCAUUAGAGUGGCUCUCACAGGCUGAAGGACAGAAAUGGCCAGUCAGCAGCUGAAGAAUAUUUUCACAAAGCAAUCCAAGUGGACCGAUGGAGUGCCUCCAAAACAUAUUCCCGGAGCUUCACUUUUUUAACUGGGGUGGAUGCUUAAAAACUGUGGUUUCAACAGAAGCAUAAAUUUGGUACUUAAUCUUGUCAUUAUUCUUCCUUUCAACCCUUUGCUUUCACAUAGGCAAUAAUUAACAACUGUUCUUUAAAUUCCAUGAUGAUUAAAGCCCCUCCUCACUUCUAAAUGCUAAUAUUCUUUUCUCUAUUAAAGAUCUAGAUUUUUACUGGAAUCAGAGUAUUUUAAUUCUUAUUAGACGUUUGAAGGGCCACAGAUUUUUAACAACUUAGAUCUAUUAAUCUGAUUAAAAUACAUAUUUUUCUAUUGCCUUCUGUCUGGAAUCCAUUUUCAGCACAGACAGAAGGAGGGAAGUUAAGAAAGAGAUGUGUAUUCCCUAACUCAACAGGGCUCUUUGUUUUCAAGCAAUAAAAAUAAAGAGGAUCUUUUUUGAGUUUCCUUUAAUUAUGAGCCUGAGGGUAGAAGGAAAAGAGGAGUGAUUUUUUUUUUUUUUUUCUCAGUAUGAUGUUUGUGAUGUAGUUCUGCCUGGAGGAGUUGCUGUUUUGUUGCUAAAUUAUAACUAUCUUUCCUGUGGCUGUAGAGGAGAUUUGGCUGUGUUACAUUUCUGAUUUGUGGUUGUCUUCCUUUUUCUGUGGGAGCUCUCCAAAAUGGUAAAUGGGAGUUAUAUCUGUGACUUAAAUGUGCUACUUUCUGUCUUUCACAAUCGUAUGGAUUUCCUUUUGGUAUGAACCAGAGCUGAGUGUCAAGUCAGUUCUUGCAGUCUGGCUUUUUCAUUUUAGAGAAAACAUGAUGCAUUUGAAAUGUAUUUGAAAUACCGUUUUCUCAUUAGAUCGUUAGGUUAUGCAAGGUGGAGGAUGGCAGUUACCCUUAAAGCGAUUUAUUACAUUGUGGUUGUGAAUCUAAUGAGGGAAGAUGGGAUUCAAGAAGGGACAUGAUAAAAGUUUUUGUAGAAGUGGGUAUAGUCUGGGUGAUGAAGGGAUAUGAGAAAAUUAAUGUUUAAAAAAAAGUUUAAAAAUCCCUCAGUGUGUACAGUUCUGCUGUUACUUAGGAGCAGCCCUUGAUCAAGCAUAGGCACCAAGUCGUAUCCUGUAGUUUUCUUCUUCAUGGGAGUCUCCUGGUUUUUGAAGCAGCAAAGUCAAGAAUGCAUGGCUUUUUGAGAAAUGAAGAAAUUAUUUUGUCUUAUUCCUUAGGGGGUAACUUCCUUUCUCUGAGCAAGUGUAAACAGAACUGUCAGUGAUCCUGAGCAUUUUUCUUUUCAGGUAGAAAAAGAGUAGUUAAGAUGUGAGCAAGAAACUUAGGAAGUGUGCAGUCUACUGCAGGGAGUUUUAGGCAUAAGUAUAGGAAGAAAGGAAGUUCAUAAUUAGCAUCACCUCCAGCCAGUGUCGCUUUUUUCUGCCCAUGCAGCAGUAAUCUGGGGGACUUUAGAUCUCCAGAGUACAGCAAUUAGAUAACCCAAGCCAAGAAGAUCUAAGCGUAAGUUUUGUAAACAAGUAAAUUAGGACUCACACCUUUACUGAACGGGAAGAAAAAACCUGAAAAAGAAGGCAUCAUGUAAAGACCAACAGAUGGGCUUCUAAUACGUUGGGGCUAUUCAAAAACAGAUGACUGAGUAACAGCACGGAAACAAAGCAGACAGUAGAGAAGCAGCAAACUCACCUUUUCCAGAAGUGACAUCAAAUACUACUCCCUUCACCGCCAGGUA